rnacentral:rRNA from 1 species
UACGUAGGGUGCAGGCGUUAAUCGGAAUUACUGGGCGUAAAGCGUGCGCAGGCGGUUUCGUAAGUUUGAUGUGAAAUCCCCGGGCUUAACCUGGGAAUGGCAUUGAGGACUGCGAGGCUGGAGUGUGGCAGAGGAGACUGGAAUUCCCGGUGUAGCAGUGAAAUGCGUAGAUAUCGGGAGGAAUACCGAUGGCGAAGGCAGGUCUCUGGGCUGACACUGACGCUCAUGCACGAAAGCUAGGGGAGCAAACGGG